GAUGAAGAACGUAGCGAAAUGCGAUAAGUAAUGUGAAUUGCAGAAUUCAGUGAAUCAUCGAAUCUUCGAACGCACAUUGCGCCCGCCAGUAUUCUGGCGGGCAUGCCUGUUCGAGCGUCAUUUCAACCAUCAAGCCCCCGGGCUUGUGUUGGGGACCUGCGGCUGCCGCAGGCCCUGAAAAGCAGUGGCGGGCUCGCUGUCACACCGAGCGUAGUAGAUUUUAUCUCGCUCUGGGCGUGCUGCGGGUUCCGGCCGUUAAACCACCCUUUUAACCCAAGGUUGACCUCGGAUCAGGUAGGAAGACCCGCUGAACUUAAGCAUAUCAAUAAGCGGAGGA
rnacentral:misc_RNA from 1 species